rnacentral:rRNA from 1 species
UGGAUCAUGUGUUUAAUUCGAUGAUACGCGAAGAACUUACCAGGUCUUGACAUCCCCUGCAAAGCUAUGGAGACAUAGUGGAGGUUAUCAGGGAGACAGGUGGUGCAUGGUUGUCGUCAGCUCGUGUCGUGAGAUGUUGGGUUAAGUCCCGCAACGAGCGCAACCCUUAUUGCUAGUUACCAUCAUUGAGUUGGGGACUCUAGCGAGACUGCCAGUGAUAAACUGGAGGAAGGUGGGGAUGACGUCAAAUCAUCAUGCCCCUUAUGACCUGGGCUACAAACGUGAUACAAUGGCUGAAACAAAGGGCAGCGAAGCAGUGAUGUGGAGCGAAACCCAAAAAAGCAGUCUCAGUUCGGAUUGAAGUCUGCAACUCGACUUCAUGAAGUCGGAAUCGCUAGUAAUCGCGGAUCAGAACGCCGCGGUGAAUACGUUCUCGGGGUUU